GCGCCCGUAGCUCAAAGGAAGAGCAGUGGGUUUCUAACCCAUUGGUUGGGGGUUCGAGUCCCUCCGGGCGCA
rnacentral:tRNA from 1 species